UACCAGCACCCCGAGUGGUCGGGACGUUUAUUGGGCCUAAAGCAUCCGUAGCCGGUUCUACAAGUCUUCCGUUAAAUCCACCUGCUUAACAGAUGGGCUGCGGAAGAUACUAUAGAGCUAGGAGGCGGGAGAGGCAAGCGGUACUCGAUGGGUAGGGGUAAAAUCCGUUGAUCCAUUGAAGACCACCAGUGGCGAAGGCGGCUUGCCAGAACGCGCUCGACGGUGAGGGAUGAAGCUGGGGGAGCAAACCGGG
rnacentral:rRNA from 1 species